GGGCGGGGCUUCCCUCCGCUCCGUGCUGUCCUUUCCCCUGCGGCCUCUGCUCUGGCGGGAGUACCCCGGCCGAGCUCCCAGACACGUGCGGGAUGACUUGAAAGUAGGGCAUCAUUGGCCCUCCUGAAGAGAGGAAAUUAGUGGCUGGUGAACAGUCAGUAUGGCAUUCUCAGAUGCCUUUACCUGAGAGAGAAAUCUGCCUCCAUCAGGACCUCAGAUGUCUGACAGCCCUAUGUGACACCAGGAUAGGUAAUAUAGUCCCUUUUGUUGGGAUAUUCCUGUAAAUAAACUGCAGGACGCGUGGUGCUUUGCAACACUGACAACAUUUACUACGUGUUGAUGAUGUGCCAGAAUUGUAAACACAUUCUACAUAUCUUAAUCCUCUCAUCAGGCCUACAAGAGAAAGAAUGUGGUGGGAAGCGGGAGAGAGAGAAUCUUAAGCAGGCUCCAGGCCCCUGCAGAUCCCAAUGUUGGACUCUAUCUCACCAGCCUGAGAUCAUGACCUGAAUGAAGAGUCGGACCUUCAACCUAAUGAUCCAACCAGGUGCUCCAAAGAUUACUUUUUUAAAGGUUGGGGUAGAGUAGGGUUCCAUGCAUAGUAGUACAACUGCUAAAUUAAGGGCAUAAAGAUAAACAAACUUGUUACAAAUAAUACAACACAGAAAAGUUAUUCCAAGAUUAUUUCAACAAUAUAUCGAGAAUAAUCUCCCUACAUGCUAAAAUAGCAUUUGUUAAAACUGCUGAGGAUCAACAUUCCUAACCUAUUAAAAGUGUCUUACCCAAAAGGCUGUGUGAUGCUUAAUGAGGAAACCCUAGAAAUGAUCCCAUUAAAAAAAGAGAAAAGAGGGGCACCUGGGUGGUUCAGUUUUUAAUCAUCUGCCUUUGGCUCAGGUCAUGAUCCCAGGGUCCUGGGAGGAGCCUGCUUCUCCUUCUCCCACUUGCCCUGCUUGUGUCUCUCUGUCCAAUAAAUACAUAAAAUCUUUAAAAAAAAGAAAAAGAAAAGAGCUUUGUUCAAAGUUACUACCAAAGGUAGUUAGAUAAAAUCACUCAUAGAUGGUAAGUUUACUUGGAAAUAUAUCUAUGGGUAUCAACUGAAAGUGAUCCAUUGAAGUAACAAAUAAUGGGUUUGAAGAUAACUUGGAAGGAAUAAUUAGACAGAUGUACAGAGGUUACAGAUGAAGAAAACAUUAAAAUACUGACAGACACAAAUGAGACCUUCAGUGGUAAAUCAUACCAUGUCCAAGAAAUUUCAACAUAAAGAUAAAUCUCCUAAAGAAAACUGUAAGUUUAUAAAAAUUCCAAUAAAAGUAACAGGAUUAAUUUUAUAACUACAUAAGAUGAUUAUAACAUUCACAUGGAAAAAUAAGAAUAAUCAUAAUAUUGUGAGAAAUUAGAAUCAUAAAGGAUAACUAGCCCUACCAGAUGUUAAAACGUUACAAAAAGAGUAAAGUGUUGAUACUGGCAAACGAAUAGCUUACUCAAUGAAUAGAACAGAUAAAAGGAAAUCCAGAAAUAGACUCUGAAUGAUGUUUAAAAAGUACAAUAAGAAAGCAUGGUUUUUCCUUUAAUUGUGUAAUAGAGUACCUUUGCCUUCCAAGUUUAAAAAAAAAAAAAAUGAGGAGUACUUAAAAGGAAGGAAUUAUGUGACUAGAUUUUCAAACUUCUGUAUGGAAGGGCUGGCUCCGUCAGCAGAGCACACAACUUUUUUUCAGGCUCAUGAGUUCAAGCCCCACACUGGGCAUAGAGAUUACUAUUAAAGUAUUAAAAAGGUAAAUAAAUCUUCAUUAAGUGUAUCACUAUGUAACAAAACCCUUAAAACUUAGUGGUUCAAACAAGUAUUAAAAUUCUUCCAGUUGAUAGGGCUCAGCUGGGUGGUUGUGUUCUACAUGGACUCAGCUAGAGCUCUGGCUGUUGGGAGUCUUCACUCAGUAGGAGCUAUAGACUUGACGUACUUUGGUUCUUUCAGUGUGACCUCUUAAUAGUGGUUGGGUAUCUCACAUGGCAAGUGGGUUCCAAGUGGGUAAAAAAAAUCUUAAAAUUUUCUCUCUUCUGUGGAAAAAAAAAGUCACUUCUGCGUUCUGUUGGUCAAAGCCAUUUAUAAGACCCUUCUAGACGCAGGCAGAGUGGAAAUUGAUUCCACUAUGAGAAGCAUGGCAAAGAAUUUGUGGCCAUCUUUAGUAAACCACAAGCAUAUACAUAUACACAUACAAAGUAUUUCUUUAUAGAAAAUCCUUAGAAUACAAAAGAAAUGAUUGGUAAGUGGGUUACCUUUAAGUUGGGGAAAACUUGUGUUCUUUGAAUUUUAUUAUAUGUAUUAUCUACUCAAAAAUUCCUUCCUAAACCCCCUCUUGCCUGCCUGCCCUCCCUGCUGUGCCAUUGCUAAAAGAGCCAUUGGUUAACAGUUCUCUAUUUUUAAAUAGCUUAAAUUAUAGGGAUGACCUGGUUUCAGGGCAUUAAAUCUGUUAAAAAAAAAUAAGUAGAUGGUGGACUGCCAAGAGAUUCUGAGACUACAGCUCUGGUAAAGGCAGUAUCAUAAAAUGCUCAAAAGCUCUGUGUUUGGACUGAUACAGAACUGGGUUCAGAUCCUGGCUUUUGUCACUGUUUAGCUGCAUCACCUGCAAGCUUCUUAAUCUCUUACAUAAAACAGGAAUAAUGGUACCUUAUCCUCAAAAUUAUGAUAAUAAUUAGAAAGCAUUAUCAGCUGCCUAAUGAUUGUGUGGUAUCAGAAUAUAUGUCCUCAAUAUGUCUCCUGUGCAAAACUGUAAAAGGUCUUCAUUAUCAGCUCAAAUCCAAACUCUUUCCUGGUGUUUAAAGUCUUCCAUAACAUAGCUGUACCAAGCUGUCACUUAGACCUUCCAAAGUCUUAGCAGAAAUUCUUGCUUUAUAGCCACAUUCUUCACCAUCCCUGGUGCACAACUCACCUACUCCCAAGUCACCCAAAACAGUAUAGAGCUUUUGAUUCAUCUCUACUCCAGCCAGACGCACCUUGAGGCCAGACUCCUUGUCCAUUCGCCAUCAGACUACGAUCCUCAAGAGUUGGCAAUUGGUCAUUGAAUCCCUACCCUUGUACUGUGUCCCUCAUGAAAUAGGCAUUUGAUGACUGAAAUCUUGUAUUAAGUUUGUUUUCCAAUGUGUCUUUUUGCUGAUGAGCCACUAAGCAGAUCCUCAAUAAAUAAUUACUCAAUGAUAAA